AUGCGCCACUGCGCCCAGCUAAUUUUUGUAUUUUUAGUAGAGACGGUUUCGCCACUUUGGUCAGGCUAGUCUUGAAUUCCUGACCUCAAGUAAUCCGCCUGCCUUGGCCUCCCGAAGUGCUGGAAUUACAGGCGUGAGCCACUGCGCCCAGCUACCUGUCAUUUCUAAUAUAGCCUGCAGGGGGAACCAAAGCCUGACUUUUUGUUUUUGUUUCUGUUUUUGUUUUUGUUUUCUAUGGGAAAUAGUGCUCUCCUGGGAGGUGGGUUUCCAAAUCUCUGCUUGGACACAUGAAUUUGAGGGUUGUGCUCUCCACUAACCCAAGAAUUCCCAUGCUGGGGAGGGUAGCUUGGCCCUCCGCUUGCUUCCCAGUUCAUACAGAUGGUCCUUUGCUCCCUCUAUUUCUCACCUUGUUCUAAUGCCUGUUUCUCAAUUAUUUUGCCUGAAGUUUCCUGGAGAAUGAGGGUGAGGGGAGACCUGGAGUGGGAGACCUGGGUGUGGAUUACUGUAGCACUAAGGCAAAACAGGAUUCCUGCGGAAUAGCCAAGUGCACAUCAAAGGCACUUCCAACUCCAGUGCCUCUUCCCGGUCCAUGUCCUGCUCCACCCAACCUUCAAUCAGGGAACACAAACAACAGCGAAGUUUGCCAAAAGAAUUCGAGUAUCAGUGAGAUGUUCUGGCCAGGGUACAGGAGGGAUGAGUGAGGCAGAAACUAUCAAAGAAAACUCAUUUCCCCACACCCAAGAAGGAGCUGGAUGACCCAGGUACAGAUAUAAUUUUGAGAUGGGAAAAUUAAGGGAUUUUAAAGAAACAGUUCCAGCCUCAACAAGAAGCUAGAGAAUGUGGUGCUCAGUGAGGGGUUAUCCUACUUGGAGGCCCAGCUGGUCUCCCAGGUUCAGCCAAACACGGAAAUCUCAGAUCCUCGGAUGUCAUGUGGGGUGGGGCAGGGAAGUCUCACAUGUCUUCAGCCCUGCACAAGGCCAGGAGGGCUGACUGGCAAUCCCCUUUCACUGCAUCCUGCAGACAAGGGAAUUCAGUGUUAGAAAGAUCCACCACCACUAUGGCCCAAGUGCUCUCUCCCCUCCUUUGGGCUGGUCCAUCACAGUUCAUCUGGGAGGGAAGGGUCCUCCCGGGAGCUCAGAGUCCUGCACUACAUUAACCAAAGACUCCUGGGUUUUCUUUUUUAAGAUGGAGUCUUGCCCUGUCACCCAGGUGGGAGUGCAGUGG
rnacentral:lncRNA from 10 species